UGUUAUUGAGGUAGUUUCCCCAGUUCCCAGUGUAGUGGAAGUUGGCCAGUUACCAGAGGAAGAACCUGUGAUAGAAGAGAGCAGGGAGUCUAGGGUUGAGGUGCCGGUGCUGAGUGGGGACCCCCUUGUUCAACCAAGGGAGGAAGGGAGGCGCAAAACCACUCGAGUAACUGCAGGGAGGCAUGCAAACCCUUACCAUUUACCAAGGGCUGUGAUACAGGUUCAGAGUGUACAAGGGAGCCAAGAGUCUGGAAACCUCCCAGAGCCACCCAGUCAGAAUCAAGGGCCCCCUUUUCGACCAUGGCUUUAAGCUGUAUCAUCGGGACGAUGAUAGAAAAGCUGGGGGUAGAAUGUAAUGGGGUGAGCUUAGAGGGGCGUGUCAUUUGACUUUGUGAUGGAGCCGGACGGAAGUUGAGCGCACGGACCCUUUAAAAGUGGGGAACAUUCCUUUCUUCGGGUUCUCUCUCUGUUUUGGGAAACUGGCUGCAGUGGAGGUGUGUAACGACUCCCUUACCUGUGUAAGCACGAGGUUUAUACCUUUUCCGGACCUCUCUUAGUCGCGCUGAACACCAAGGUAGUUCCCGCAUCAAACUUCUAUUUCAUCUGCGUGACAUUGUCCGCUAUUGUGCAUCAGAGGAACGCUGAUUUUCUGCGCUGUGCGUGGGCCUGUGGGUACUUCCAAAUCAUUCACAGUCGUGUGAUCCAGAUUUAUGAAUGGUGCGUUGACAUUGCUGGGGGGCCUGAUCAAGGUGCGCUACAGAGGGCUGCUGUUUCGCUGCUGUGGAAUUUACAGUCGUUGGACAUUCCUGUUGAUGCUCUCAAUCUUCUGACGUUUCAUCCUGUGUGUGUGUGCGUUCGCGCGCGUGUGUGUGUGUGUGUGUGUGUGUGUGUGUUUAGUAAUGAUGUGUGACUGCGUGGAGUAUUAGGUUUAGCUGUUAAAUUGUGUAUUGGUGUUUUGUUUGUUUAACCCCAUGUGUGUAUUUUGAGAGGUCACACGGGUAUUAGACCAUUUAUUAUUCUGUACAUCUGACUCAUAUAAGUGACCUGGGGAAUUUGUAUUGCCUAUUUCAUUUAUAAUCUUUUUUUUUUGUUUCUUUUUUUGUGUGGAGGUUGGUUUGUUUAAUUGAAAUGGUUUGUUUCACUAACUGGAAGUGAUUGGUUUUUUUACUUUGUGUGUGGGAUUUUCUUUCUUUAUAUUGGUACCAAUUAGUAUUAUUAUUGUGUGAUUCAUUACCUCAGGGUAUCUAUGAGACAAAUGGUCUAAGAACUAAGUGUCCCCCCACAUAUGGUAUGGAUGCUGUGUAGUGUGUUUACGCCUUUUAUGUGAAUGUGGAUGUUUGUAUUUUUAUACCACUAAAUUAAAGAUUGAAUAAGCACACCCUUGUUGUCUUCCUCCAUUUGGUUGGGGGGCCUGUUGUAAGGGGAAUUGAAUAUUAAUACCCCUUUGUUACAUAUAACUUGA